CCCGACAUUGCCUGCUGAGCCAAUCCCAGGGACAAGUAAAGGAGAGCCGCCUCGCACACCUAACCAUGUUUAUAACCGCCUUAACCUCAGCAUCGAGGUCUCCCCUCUCUCACAGGUGGACCGGUCGGUGUUGGAGGCCUUGCCUGCAGAGUUGAGAGAACAUGUGGAGCACUCCUGGACCCACAGAGACACAGAGAGAACACACAACGGUUCACACCCUGGCCCCUCUUCUACUUCUUCUUCCUGUUCAUCUUCCCCUCUACCCUCCUCUCCUCCUCCCCCCGCUGCCCCUCCUGUAGGAGCACUGGUGCUUCAGAUCCCCAAACAGUCUGGACAGACCGGCUCCACAGGCAUCAUACUGGAACUGUCUGACUUCUCCCAGGUUGACCCGGAGGUGUUUGCAGAACUCCCCAGAGAACUCCAGGAGGAGCUGCGUUCAGUGUACGGCCGCAGAGAGAACACCCAUGGGAUCAUGG